CUCUGUCACCUGAUCUUAGAGAACCAUCCAUGAAGCCAUAGGUGUAGGCUGAGAGAUACAUGGUGCUGUCGUGCUUUCCCAUCUAAUGCUCACAGUAAACCUGAAAAUAGGCAUUAAUCAGCCAUACAUUGCUGAAGUCUAUAUUUUGUCUUCCUUGGCCCACUCUCCUCUUCAGCAAAGUUAAUAACUUCUAUCAUGUAAUAAUACACUUUCACUUAUAUCUAAUCCAAAUAGAAUUAUAAUAACAGAAUCUUAGUGUUGACGGCAUCCUUAAUGGUCAUUGAUUCUCACCUUCAUUUUAUAGGAAUGAAGAAAUA
rnacentral:lncRNA from 1 species